UACGGGGGGGGCAAGCGUUGUUCGGAAUUAUUGGGCGUAAAGAGCUCGUAGGCGGUCUGUCGCGUCUGCUGUGAAAACCUGGGGCUUAACCCCGGGCCUGCAGUGGGUACGGGCAGACUAGAGUGCGGUAGGGGAGACUGGAAUUCCGUGGUGUAGCGGUGAAAUGCGCAGAUAUCAGGAGGAACACCGGUGGGCGAAGGCGGGUCUCUGGGCCGUAACUGACGCGUGAG
rnacentral:rRNA from 1 species